GUUACAGCAGCCGCGGUAAUACGAAGGGGGCGAGCGUUGUUCGGAAUUACUGGGCGUAAAGGGCGCGCAGGCGGCUCUGAAAGUCAGAUGUGAAAGCCCCGGGCUUAACCUGGGAACUGCAUUUGAUACUCUGGAGCUUGAGUGUGGGAGAGGAGAGUGGAAUUCCCGGUGUAGAGGUGAAAUUCGCAGAUAUUGGGAAGAACACCGGUGGCGAAGGCGGCUCUCUGGACCACAACUGACGCUGAGGCGCGAAAGCGUGGGGAGCAAACAGGAUUAGAUACCCCGGUAGUCC
rnacentral:rRNA from 1 species